UACGGGGGGGGCAAGCGUUGUUCGGAAUUACUGGGCGUAAAGGGUUUGUAGGUGGCUCGAUAAGUCUGCUGUGAAAGUCCAGGGCUCAACCCUGGAAGGCCGGUGGAAACUGUCGGGCUAGAGUCCGGAAGAGGCGAGUGGAAUUCCCGGUGUAGCGGUGAAAUGCGCAGAUAUCGGGAGGAACACCAAUGGCGAAGGCAGCUCGCUGGGACGGUACUGACGCUGAGACGCGAAAGCGUGGGGAGCAAACAGG
rnacentral:rRNA from 1 species